UGACCUCGGAUCAGACGUGAUUACCCGCUGAAUUUAAGCAUAUUUAUUAAGCGGAGGAAAAGAAACUAACAAGGAUUCCCCUAGUAACGGCGAGUGAACGGGGAAGAGCCCAACACCGAAUCCCUUGGCGCAAGUCAACGGGAAAUGUGGUGUUAAGGUAGCCCUUCGUGUCAGUCUAGGCGUCUCAAGUCCACCUGAUUGUGGCUCAAGCCCAGAGAGGGUGUAAGGCCCGUAGAGACGCUCCGACUGAUUCCUGGGGUUUACCUACGAGUCGGCUUGUUUGGGAAUGCAGGCCAAAGCGGGUGGUAAACUCCAUCCAAGGCUAAAUACUGGCACGAGUCCGAUAGCGGACAAGUACGUGAGGGAAAGUUGAAAAAGAACUUUGAAGAGAGAGUUCAAUAGUACGUGAAACCGCUUAGAGGCAAACGGAUGGUGCUCAUACUGGCCUGAGGAAUUCAACUGUGACGGUGGCUGGACGAGCUGGCGUUCCGAUCUCUCUUUUGGGACGGGCGUCGGUUUGGCUAUCAGCUCCGACAUGGUGGCACUUUCCUUGGUGCCUCCGCCACGACCGACGACACUGGCUACCCGCGGCUGGGGUAAGGUGACAAACUGCUUCGGCAAUUUGUGUUUAUAGACCCCGGCGUCGGACAUGUUUGGCCAGGACGUCGAGCUUGCGGCGCCCGCUCCUUGUGGGCUCGCAUGUUGGCUAGCUUGGCUGCGCCGAUGCUUGCACUGGACAACCAGUACAGGUGACGGUUGUGGUCUUGUCUCUAGUUGGCCUCUGCGAGUUUGGCGCCUAUAGUCUGUGGUGUACUUGUGGGUAGACUAUCCGACCCGUCUUGAAACACGGACCAAGGAGUCUAACAUGUGCGCGAGUCAUGGGGAUUCUACGAAAACCCAAAGGCGCAGUGAAAGUAAAGGCCUGCUUCUCGUAGGCUGAGGUGGGAUCUCGUGCAUCGCGAUUGGCGAGCGCAACCACCGCCCGUCCUAUCUGUCUCUGUCAGUGGGGCGGCGCAAGAGCGUACACGUUGGGACCCGAAAGAUGGUGAACUAUGCUUGCGCAGCUCGAAGUCAGUGGAAACACUGAUGGAGGAGCGCAGCGUUUCUGACGUGCAAAUCGAUCGUCAAACGUGAGUAUAGGCGAAGAGACUAAUCGAACCAUCUAGUAGCUGGUUCCCCUCCGAAGUUUCCCUCAGGAUAGCUGGCACUCGGAAACAGUUUUAUCCGGUAAAGCGAAUGAUUAGAGGCAUUGGGUCGAAACGACCUCGACCUAUUCUCAAACUUUAAAUGGUAAGAUGCUCGUCUCGCUUAAUUGGAGGCGGGCUUCACCUCUCUAUAAAACCGUGAAUGUGAGUGCCCAGUGGGCCAUUUUUGUAAGCAGAACUGGCGCUGUGGGAUGAACCAAACGCGCGGUUAAGGCGCCCAAUGCGGACGCUCAUGAGACACCACAAAAGGUGUUGGUCGAUACUGACAGCAGGACGGUGGCCAUGGAAGUCGGAACCCGCUAAGGAGUGUGUAACAACUCACCUGCCGAAUCAACCAGCCCUGAAAAUGGAUGGCGCUGGAGCGUCGGGCCUAUACCGUGCCGUUGGGGCGAAGCAGACAAAUAAUCUGUGUGGAUGUCCCAACGAGUAGGAGGGUCGCCGUGGUGAGCGCAGAAGGUGCGGCCGUGAGGCCGGCUGGAGCCGCCACGGGCGCAGAUCUUGGUGGUAGUAGCAAUUACUCAAGUGAGAACCUUGAGGACUGAAGUGGAGAAGGGUUCCAUGUGAACAGCAGUUGAACAUGGGUCAGGCGGUCCUAAGCGAUCGGGUAACUCCGUACCUAGACGAGGGUGACAACUAUCACUGAUAAUACUGUGAAGUGUUAUAGCCCUCCGGAGCGAAAGGGAAUCGUGUUAAUAUUCACGACCCUUACCGUGGAGAUCGCCCCUUUCGGGGGGCAAGUGCGGUAACGCAAACGAACACAGAGACGUCGGCUGGAGCCCCGGGAAGAGUUCUCUUUUCUUUGUAAGGAGCGUACCCCCUGGAAUCGGCUUGUCCGGAGAUAGGGGCGUGGCUUCCGUAAAGCAGCGCGGGUCUUGCGCUGUCCGGUGCACUCUAGUCGGCCCUUGAAAAUCUGUGGGAGACAGUGUGAUUUUCACGGUAGGCCGUACCCAUAUCCGCAGCAGGUCUCCAAGGUGAACAGCCUCUAGUCCUAGAACAAUGUAGGUAAGGGAAGUCGGCAAAAUGGAUCCGUAACUUCGGGAAAAGGAUUGGCUCUGAGGGCUGGGUCGGAUGGGCUGGCGUAAGAAGCUGUUCCGGUUUUGGUGAGGACUGGGCGAGGCUUUCGGGCUUUACUCGGACCAUGCCGAGACCAGGCAGUAGACGACGUCAGCUGUGCUUGUCGUGUUUCGGCGCGGCAGCUUCGUCCGGCAACAAACAGCCAACUCAGAACUGGCACGGACUAGGGGAAUCCGACUGUCUAAUUAAAACAAAGCAUUGCGAUGGCUGUUGCUCGGUGUUGACGCAAUGUGAUUUCUGCCCAGUGCUCUGAAUGUCAAAGUGAAGAAAUUCAAUCAAGCGCGGGUAAACGGCGGGAGUGACUACGACUCUCUUAGACGGGCCGCUUGAUGAUGGUGUGCUGGACUGAGAGACAAACCUGAGCGUGGCGUGGGCAGACCAGCCUGCUGUUACUUGGUGGACAUGCAGGUUAGGCCACUGCCACCUCGAGAUGGUGAAACUAUGCUAUGUUGAGGCAGAAGCUUGGCCGAAGCUUGGAUGACUGUUCAGUAAUGGCGGCUGGAUGCCGGGGGGCUCCAGUUCGAAAAAUGGCUCCACUACUGGGGAAACCUGGUAGAGGGUGAACAUUACUGAUCAGGAUUCCGGGCUAAAGCUUUGCUUCUAGUGCGGAUGAUUGUGAGGAUUGUUCUGCCUUCGGAUUGGGUGGCCCCCCGCACCCGGUUCGGUCUGGUGGUUCGAUUCUCACCGGAGGGAUCCUUGCUCCGUAGGUACGCCCUUGGAGUAGGGGGAACUUCGCUCGAAUUGAAACACGGAUCAGGAUCGGGCCUGCACGCGCUAUGGUCGGGUGCGGCUCGAACUCUAACAUACUUUCAUUUAGCUGGUCUCCGCUUAGGCGGGUCCGGGUUUCGAUUCGGAUGUUGAUGAUCGCAGGGUAAAGGCGCGAUGGCAGAGCUGGCUCGUCUUGGCGACGCCGGAGUGCUUAUCCCUGUCUGACAGUGUUGGUGCCUCCAAGUGGCGAGAGUCGGGCAACGGUGCGGUCGAGUGCGAUGUAUAUAUGUACUUUUUUAUUCUGUUUAUCUUUUAUUUUCACUUUAUUAACUUUUUUCUAACUUUAAUUUUAAUCGUUCUGGUAUUGUUACCUUUAUAUUUCUCAUUAUUAUUAUUAUUACUUACAUCGUACUCGGUCGUAGCGGCUAAAUCCCACUGUCUAAUCAGCUAGUUCCGGGUUAGCUCCCCGGUUCUGGCUUUGUGUCAUCCACAGGCUCCGAAGACUACUAAGAAAAAUUCGAACUCGGCCACUGCCGAGUCGCAGGGUGACACCUGCACCUCCCCGAAAGGGGGUCAGGGUGCCAGUUGGAGCUGUCCGGAUUGUGAGAGAGCGUUUUCGACCAAGACGGGGCUUGGAGUCCACCGCAGGGCUCGGCACCCUAGUAGUUUCCAUCAGCAGAAGUGUGAGGAAGUUGAGAAGCAGAGUAAGAGACGGUGGACGGAUGAGGAGAAGCAUAUCCUAGCUAGAGCUGAGGCAGGGUUUAGCGGAGCCGAGGCAGGUAUUAAUGACUUAUUAGUAGCAGCAAAUAUUCUUCCGGGAAGGACUAAGGAGAGCAUUAAGGGGGCCAGAAAGGCGGCAGCUUAUAAGCUCUUGGUUGAGAAAUUUAGAGAGGAGCGUAGUACCGAGCUUGCGGGUCAGAGUGAGAGUGCUGGUACUAGGGACGUGGAGGAGAGUACGGCUAUUAGUGCUAGCGUUGGUAGUGAGAGUAGCCAGCAGAUGGAGUCCAGACCGGAAUUAACUACAAAACCCAAAAAAACUAAUAUAAAGUACAGAAAAAAUCCAAAAAAAGAUGACAGAGUAGGCAACGCAGGUCCG
rfam:Macrostomum lignano uti_cns_0048319, whole genome shotgun sequence.